UACGUAGGGUGCGAGCGUUGUCCGGAAUUAUUGGGCGUAAAGAGCUUGUAGGCGGUCUGUCGCGUCUGCUGUGAAAAUCCGGGGCUCAACCCCGGACUUGCAGUGGGUACGGGCAGACUGGAGUGGUGUAGGGGAGACUGGAAUUCCUGGUGUAGCGGUGGAAUGCGCAGAUAUCAGGAGGAACACCGAUGGCGAAGGCAGGUCUCUGGGCACUUACUGACGCUGAGGAGCGAAAGCGUGGGGAGCGAACAGG
rnacentral:rRNA from 1 species